AUUCUGGAGAAGCGUGCCUUCACUUUUCAUUGGAAAUAGCAAUGGAUUUUGUCCUGCCUAGUUCAUAUUUUUGGUUUCUUUCUUACUGCAGAUUGAUAUAAUUGAUCAUGAUUCUAGAUUAAUUGGACUCCACUUGUAUGAUGGAUUGUUUAAGGACAGCUCAAAAAGGCUUUUAACAUAAGACAUGUAAUCUCCUAUCUAAUUACUCAACAUCACUUUCAUGGAUAAAUUUGUCAAUGACCUAUCAAAAGAAUUAAUGAUGCUGCUUAUAAAGAUCUUGGCUGCGAUAUUGAUGUCAUAUGUAUUGGAUCUAGAUUCUAUAUUUCAAAUCCAUAUACAUGCAUUGCAUGUUUGUGUUCA